UACAGAGGGGGCAAGCGUUGUUCGGAAUUACUGGGCGUAAAGGGCGCGUAGGCGGCCCGCUAAGUCGAACGUGAAAUCCCCGGGCUCAACCCGGGAACUGCGUCCGAUACUGGCAGGCUUGAAUCCGGGAGAGGGAUGUGGAAUUCCAGGUGUAGCGGUGAAAUGCGUAGAUAUCUGGAGGAACACCGGUGGCGAAGGCGGCAUCCUGGACCGGCAUUGACGCUGAGGCGCGAUAGCCAGGGGAGCAAACGGG
rnacentral:rRNA from 1 species